rnacentral:rRNA from 1 species
UACGGAGGGUGCAAGCGUUAUCCGGAUUCACUGGGUUUAAAGGGUGCGUAGGCGGGCAGGUAAGUCAGAGGGGAAAUCCCCGAGCUUAACUCGGGAACUGCCGUUGAUACUAUCUGUCUUGAAUACCGUGGAGGUGAGCGGAAUAUGUCAUGUAGCGGUGAAAUGCUUAGAUAUGACAUAGAACACCAAUUGCGAAGGCAGCUCGCUACACGAAUAUUGACUCUGAGGCACGAAAGCGUGGGGAUCAAACAGG